AUUGAACGCUGGCGGCAUGCCUUACACAUGCAAGUCGAACGGCAGCACGGGAGCAAUCCUGGUGGCGAGUGGCGAACGGGUGAGUAAUAUAUCGGAACGUGCCCAGUCGUGGGGAUAACGUAGCGAAAGCUACGCUAAUACCGCAUACGAUCUAUGGAUGAAAGCGGGGGAUCGCAAGACCUCGCGCGAUUGGAGCGGCCGAUAUCAGAUUAGGUAGUUGGUGAGGUAAAGGCUCACCAAGCCGACGAUCUGUAGCUGGUCUGAGAGGACGACCAGUCACACUGGAACUGAGACACGGUCCAGACUCCUACGGGAGGCAGCAGUGGGGAAUAUUGGACAAUGGGCGAAAGCCUGAUCCAGCCAUGCCGCGUGUGUGAAGAAGGUCUUCAGAUUGUAAAGCACUUUAAGUUGGGAGGAAGGGCAGUAAGUUAAUACCUUGCUGUUUUGACGUUACCAACAGAAUAAGACACCGGCUAACU
rnacentral:rRNA from 1 species